AGUGAACGCUGGCGGUAGGCCUAACACAUGCAAGUCGAACGGCAGCACAGUAAGGGCUUGCUCUUACGGGUGGCGAGUGGCGGACGGGUGAGGAAUACAUCGGAAUCUACUUUUUCGUGGGGGAUAACGUAGGGAAACUUACGCUAAUACCGCAUACGACCUACGGGUGAAAGCAGGGGAUCUUCGGACCUUGCGCGAUUGAAUGAGCCGAUGUCGGAUUAGCUAGUUGGCGGGGUAAAGGCCCACCAAGGCGACGAUCCGUAGCUGGUCUGAGAGGAUGAUCAGCCACACUGGAACUGAGACACGGUCCAGACUCCUACGGGAGGCAGCAGUGGGGAAUAUUGGACAAUGGGCGCAAGCCUGAUCCAGCCAUACCGCGUGGGUGAAGAAGGCCUUCGGGUUGUAAAGCCCUUUUGUUGGGAAAGAAAAGCGGCAGGUUAAUACCCCGCUGUUCUGACGGUACCCAAAGAAUAAGCACCGGCUAACUUCGUG
rnacentral:rRNA from 1 species